GAGCUAAGAUGGAGACGCCCAGUUACAGGACAGAGUUUAUAACAAUGGCUGACAGGGAGCUAAGAUGGAGACGCCCAGUUACAGGACAGAGCGUAUAACAAUGGCUGACGGGGAGCUAAGAUGGAGGCGGCAAGUUACAGGACGGAGCGUAUAACAAUGGCUGACAGGGAGCUAAGAUGGAGACGCCCAGUUACAGGACAGAGCGUAUAACAAUGGCUGACAGGGAGCUAAGAUGGAGAUGCCCAGUUACAGGACAAAACGUAUAACAAUGGCUGACAGGGAGCUAAGAUGGCAACGCCCAGUUACAGGACAGAGCGUAUAACAAUGGCUGACAGAGAGCUAAGAUGGAGACACUCAGUUACAGGACAGAGCGUAUAACAAUGGCUGACGGGGAGCUAAGAUGGAGACGCCCAGUUACAGGACAAAACGUAUAACAAUGGCUGACAGGGAGCUAAGAUGGAGACGCCCAGUUACAGGACAGAACGUAUAACAAUGGCUGACGGGGAGCUGAGAUGGAGGCGCCCAGUUACAGGACAGAGCGUUUAACAAUGGCUGACAGGCUAAGAUGGAGACACGCAGUUACAGGACAGAGCGUAUAUCAAUGGCUGACGGGGAGCUAAGAUGGAGACGCCCAGUUACAGGACAGAGCGUAUAACAAUGGCUGACGGGGAGCUAAGAUGGAGACGCCCAGUUACAGGACAGAGAGUAUAACAAUGGCUGACGGGGAGCUAAGAUGGAGACACGCAGUUACAGGACAGAGCGUAUAUCAAUGGCUGACAGGGAGCUAAGAUGGAGACGCCCAGUUACAGGACAGAGCGUAUAACAAUGGCUGACGGGGAGCUAAGAUGGAGACACCCAGUUACAGGACAGAGCGUAUAACAAUGGCUGACAGGGAGCUAAGAUGGAGACGCCCAGUUACAGGACAGAGCGUAUAACAAUGGCUGACAGGGAGCUAAGAUGGAGACGCCCAGUUACAGGACAGAGCGUAUAACAAUGGCUGACGGGGAGCUAAGAUGGAGACGCCCAGUUACAGGACAGAGCGUAUAACAAUGGCUGACGGGAGCUAAGAUGGAGACGCCCAGUUACAGGACAGAGCGUAUAACAAUGGCUGACGGGGAGCUAAGAUGGAGACGCCCAGUUACAGGACAGAGCGUAUAACAUUGGCUGACAUGGAGCUAAGAUGGAGACACCCAGUUACAGGACAGAGCGUAUAACAAUGGCCGACAGGGAGCUAAGAUGGAGACACCCAGUUACAGGACAGAGCGUAUAACAAUGGCUGACAGGGAGCUAAGAUGGAGACGCCCAGUUACAGGACAGAGCGUAUAACAAUGUCUGACAGGGAGCUAAGAUGGAGACGCCCAGUUACAGGACAGAGCGUGUAACAAUGGCUGACGGGGAGCUAAGAUGGAGACACGCAGUUACAGGACAGAGCGUAUAACAAUGGCUGACGGGGAGCUGAGAUGGAGACACCCAGUUACAGGACAGAGCGUAUAACAAUGGCUGACAGGGAGCUAAGAUGGAGACGCCCAGUUACAGGACAGAACGUAUAACAAUGGCUGACGGGGAGCUGAGAUGGAGGCGCCCAGUUACAGGACAGAGCGUUUAACAAUGGCUGACAGGGAGCUAAGAUGGAGACGCCCAGUUACAGGACAGAGCGUAUAACAAUGGCUGACAGGGAGCUAAGAUGGAGACGCCCAGUUACAGGACAGAGCGUAUAACAAUGGCUGACAGGGAGCUAAGAUGGAGACGUCCAGUUACAGGACAGAGCGUAUAACAAUAGCUGACAGGGAGCUAAGAUGGAGACGCCCAGUUACAGGACCGAGCGUAUAACAAUGGUUGACAGGAAGCCAAGAUGGAGACGCCCAGUUACAGGACAGAGCGUAUAACAAUGGCUGACAGGGAGCUAAGAUGGAGACGCCCAGUUACAGGACAGAGCGUAUAACAAUGGCUGACGGGGAACUAAGAUGGAGACACCCAGUUACAGGACAGAGCGUAUAACAAUGGCUGACAGUGAGCUAAGAUGGAGACGCCCAGUUACAGGACAAAACGUAUAACAAUGGCUGACAGGGAGCUAAGAUGGAGACGCCCAGUUACAGGACAGAGCGUAUAACAAUGGCUGACGGGGAGCUAAGAUGGAGACACCCAGUUACAGGACAGAGCGUGUAACAAUGGCUGACAGAGAGCUAAGAUGGAGACGCCCAGUUACAGGACAGAGCGUAUAACAAUGGCUGACAGGGAGCUAAGAUGGAGACGCCCAGUUACAGGACAGAGCGUAUAACAAUGUCUGACAGGGAGCUAAGAUGGAGACGCCCAGUUACAGGACAGAGCGUGUAACAAUGGCUGACGGGGAGCUAAGAUGGAGACGCCCAGUUACAGGACAGAGCGUAUAUCAAUGGCUGAC